rnacentral:rRNA from 1 species
UUGAACGCUGGCGGCGUGCCUAACACAUGCAAGUCGAGCGGCAGCGGGCCCGCAAGGGUGCCGGCGAGCGGCGGACGGGUGAGCAAUACAUAGGAAUCUACCUUAGAGCGGGGGAUAGCCCGGGGAAACCCGGAUUAAUACCGCAUGAUGUCGAGAGACCAAAGUGGGGGACCGUAAGGCCUCACACUCUGAGAUGAGCCUAUGUCGGAUUAGCUAGUUGGCGGGGUAACGGCCCACCAAGGCGACGAUCCGUAGCUGGUCUGAGAGGACGAUCAGCCACACCGGAACUGAGACACGGUCCGGACUCCUACGGGAGGCAGCAGUGGGGAAUAUUGGACAAUGGGCGAAAGCCUGAUCCAGCGACGCCGCGUGGGUGAAGAAGGCCUUCGGGUUGGU